UACGGAGGGUGCAAGCGUUAUCCGGAUUUACUGGGUUUAAAGGGUGUGUAGGCGGGCUUUUAAGUCAGUGGUGAAAUCUCCGGGCUCAACCUGGAAACUGCCAUUGAUACUAUUAGUCUUGAAUUUUGUUGAGGUAGGCGGAAUAAGUCAUGUAGCGGUGAAAUGCAUAGAUAUGACUUAGAACACCAAUUGCGAAGGCAGCUUGCUAAACAAAUAUUGACGCUGAGGCACGAAAGCUGGGGAUCAAACAGG
rnacentral:rRNA from 1 species